CCUACGGGGGGCAGCAGUGAGGAAUAUUGGUCAAUGGACGAGAGUCUGAACCAGCCAAGUAGCGUGAAGGAUGACUGCCCUAUGGGUUGUAAACUUCUUUUAUAUGGGAAUAAAAUGUUCCACGUGUGGGAUUUUGUAUGUAACAUAUGAAUAAGGAUCGGCUAACUCCGUGCCAGCAGCCGCGGUAAUACGGAGGAUCCGAGCGUUAUCCGGAUUUAUUGGGUUUAAAGGGAGCGUAGGUGGAUUGUUAAGUCAGGUGUGAAAGUUUGCGGCUCAACCGUAAAAUUGCAGUUGAAACUGGCAGUCUUGAGUACAGUAGAGGUGAGCGGAAUUCGUGGUGUAGCGGUGAAAUGCUUAGAUAUCACGAAGAACUCCGAUUGCGAAGGCAGUUCACUGGACUGCAACUGACACUGAGGCUCGAAAGUGUGGGUAUCAAACAGGAUUAGAUACCCGAGUAGUC
rnacentral:rRNA from 1 species